ACAGCAGUCGCCGCGGUAAUACGAAGGGGGCUAGCGUUGCUCGGAAUGACUGGGCGUAAAGGGCGCGUAGGCGGAUGAUUUAGUUAGGUGUGAAAUUCCUGGGCUUAACCUGGGGACUGCACUUAAUACAGGUCGUCUAGAGUGGGAUAGAGGGUUGUGGAAUUCCCAGUGUAGAGGUGAAAUUCGUAGAUAUUGGGAAGAACACCGGUGGCGAAGGCGGCGACCUGGUCCUUGACUGACGCUGAGGCGCGAAAGCGUGGGGAGCAAACAGGAUUAGAUACCCCUGUAGUCCCUGUCUCUUAUAC
rnacentral:rRNA from 1 species